UCUCCUCGAUGCCCUUCCAUGCCUCCCAGAAUUCAUUCCUGGACACACCCUGGCCAGAGCCAGCCGUUUGCAGACCUGAGCCCUGAGGAGCUGACAGCUGUGAUGAGCUUUCUGAUCAAGCACCUGGGGCCAGGGCUGGUGGACGCAGCCCAGGCUCGACCCUCGGACAACUGUGUCUUCUCAGUAGAGUUGCAGCUGCCUGCCAAGGCUGCAGCCCUGGCCCACCUGGACAGAGGGGGGCUCCCACCUGUGCGGGCGGCACUGGCCAUCAUCUUCUUUGGUGGACAACCCAAGCCCAAUGUGAGUGAGCUGGUGGUGGGGCCCCUGCCUCACGUACAUGCGGGAUGUGACUGUGGAGCGUCAUGGCGGCCCCCUGCCCUAUUAACCGUUGCCCCAUGCUGAAAGCUGAGUUUGUUCAGAUAUGGAGGCAUUUGAAAGAGGUGGAGUUACCAAAGGUAUCCACCUUUCUGGCUUCUGUCUUGAACUACAAUGGUUCCACCUUGGCACCUCUACAUUCUACUGCUAGAGGCUUCCAUUCUGUAGCAUCACCUUCACCCCGUGGGGCUAGAGCUAUUGUUGGACCGUGGGGCCCUGGACCCUGGCCACCAGGUAGUCCAACAGGCCUUCUACACUGGGCAUUGCUAUGCAGACUUGGCCCAGUUGGAAUGGGAGUUUAAAGCUGGCCGCCUAGGGGUUGGGGAUUUAGCUCGGUGGUAGAGUGCUUGCCUAGGAAGCGCAAGGCCCUGGGUUCAGUCCCCAGCUCCGAAAAAAAGAAAAAAAAAAAAAAAGAAAAGCUGGCCGCCUAGAAGCGAUUCAGGUCCCUCUACCCACACCAAAUGGGGCUUCCUCCCCGAGGCUAGAGUCACUCCAGACCCUCCUCUUCCCCUUCAGUUCUCAAUCCAGGUUCCCCAGUCCAACAUACAGGGAAGCUCAGUGAUAUCUCCCUCUGGACGUUUACCUUUGGUCAUGGGGUAUUCGGUGACUUAAGAAUUUUUGAUAUUCGGUUCAAGGGUGAGUGUGUGGCUUAUGAAGUCAGUGUCCAAGAGUGUCUGACAGUUUAUGGUGCCGAUUCCCCCAAAACAGUGACGAUCUGGCACUUGGACAGCAGCUAUGGGCUUGGUCAAAACAGCUGAGCCUAGGUUCGGGGGCCGGAGGGCGGAGGUGGAUUGCCCUCAUAAGCGACAAUGCUGGACAUCCAUGUACUGGUAGGUACAGGAUCAGUCCUGCUGCUCCCAGGGGCUGUGUGUGUAUUUGAGGAGGCCCAGAGAUACUCCUUUGAAGGCAUCACAAUGGCAUUGGGGGGGGGGGGUCAUUUCUGUGGUGGUUUGGCCAGCUCAGGCCUCCUGGUCAAGUUGGUGUCAUCAGUGGGCAACUAGGAUUACAUUUGGGACUUUAUGCUGCACCCAAGUGAUGGGGCACUUGAAACGUGUGUCCAUGCCACAGGCAAUAUCAACACAGCUUUCCUGA